rnacentral:rRNA from 1 species
UGGAAACGGGUGGUAAUGCCGGAUGUUCCACAUGAUCGCAUGUGAUUGUGGGAAAGAUUCUAUCGGCGUGGGAUGGGGUCGCGUCCUAUCAGCUUGUUGGUGAGGUAACGGCUCACCAAGGCUUCGACGGGUAGCCGGCCUGAGAGGGCGACCGGCCACAUUGGGACUGAGAUACGGCCCAGACUCCUACGGGAGGCAGCAGUGGGGAAUAUUGCACAAUGGGCGCAAGCCUGAUGCAGCGACGCCGCGUGAGGGAUGGAGGCCUUCGGGUUGUAAACCUCUUUUGUUUGGGAGCAAGCCUUCGGGUGAGUGUACCUUUCGAAUAAGCGCCGGCUAACUACGUGCCAGCAGCCGCGGUAAUACGUAGGGCGCAAGCGUUAUCCGGAUUUAUUGGGCGUAAAGGGCUCGUAGGCGGCUCGUCGCGUCCGGUGUGAAAGUCCAUCGCUUAACGGUGGAUCUGCGCCGGGUACGGGCGGGCUGGAGUGCGGUAGGGGAGACUGGAAUUCCCGGUGUAACGGUGGAAUGUGUAGAUAUCGGG